CAGGUUUAUAGCUACGGUGACCAAAAAUAGAAGAAUGCUGGCUUAGGUGGAAAACCUGCCUACUUUGAGAAGCUGGAGCAGCUCGUGAGCACUGCUUCAACCAGCUGACCCUAUGUUCCACUCAUUGCUUUGAUUCGGUUUUCCCUCUGUCACUCAGGCUGGAUACAGUGGCAUGAUCACAGCUUACUACAGUGUCAACCUCCUGGGCUCAGAGAUGGGGUCUUGGUCUGUCUUGUCAAGGAGAAGGUGUCCCUGAGAACGCAAACAUUCCAGAGAGUAUCUGAGAACCUACCUGGGAAAAAAGUCUCAUCUCACACACACACACACAACCAUCUACAAUACUGUUUGAACAUCUGAAGACAUGGGGAACUCAUGUCUGAUAUCUGAUAACAGACUUCCUACAAGGCAGGACUGGUAGUUUCCUGAUAAAUUUUUCAGUAUGAAGAUAUGGAUUUGGCUGCCAGUAAUGAAUUGCACCAAAGUCACCAUUUCAAACCAUGCCCUAGCUAUGUCUUGGUCAUCUGAGAAGGGACAGGAGGGGCUGAGGAGGGACCACGCCUGUGUGCUGCAGACUCUGUCCCUGGCUGCAAGGAAGAUCCAGAGCAGGCAGCUACUGGCCUCACCAGUGACCCUACCUUUGCUCAUUAAAGGGAUCUAAACUCAGCUUCUCACCUGUGGAUAGAAAAAGUACCAGACAAAGAGGGACAGAAGGUGUCUCUGGCCAAAUGAGGCACCUCCAGAAGAUAAAGGCCAGGCCCUGUGUGCCCCUGAAGCAGGAAAAGGCUGGGGCUUUCACUGAGGAGAUCAAUGGGACAGCAUCUCAAAGGCAGUGGACAAGUAACUGACCCUACUGGUCUCCAGGAGGGUCCCCGCCAAUCCCACUCUGCCCAGUUCAAAUGACAUGAUUCAGCAGCAUGAGCAAUGCGAAAAAAAGUGGACCAUAUGAAUUAAUUUUUAUUUAAAACAAAACCACAAAGAUGAUAAAGAACAUUUUAUAAAUCUUAUGCAACUACAUGUAAUUUAAAUUUUAUUUUUACCUAUUAAUAUAGAAGUAUCACUUUUUUAAUGAGAACGAAGGAAGCUUUUAAUAAAGUCUGUGAUAAUUUUAACACAAAAUAUAUGAAAAAGCAUAGCUGAGGUCAUCUAUUUCUAUUAGACAAAUAAAAACUUUCCCUCUAAAAAUGGUUCAGCCUAAGGUUAAACAAUUAAGAAUAAUUAUUAGACUUAGUAAUUGCCAGAGCAACCCAAAAUUACUUCUGAAUUUAUACUUGUAGGGCAUAUUAAAAAAAAAAAACAAGAACAACAACAAAACCAACCAAAACCUCGAAAUGCCCCUGUGUUCCCCAACCCUUUCUCACCAACUGGCUGGAGAAACCUCUCCUUACCUUCAGA